CGGCCUCUGGUCCGCGUCUCGUGCGAGGACGCACCGCAUGGCCGCGCGACGGAGAACGGAGGAACGGCGAUAAGCGCUGCCGGCGGACGACGAUCUUGGCGGAGGCGAGCGCCGGCGAAGACGUUGCAGGUGGAUACACGCACGAACGCAGAAGGUCGCGGUUCGAGGACGAA